CGCGCAGGCUCAGCGGCCAUGGCUCACAGGCCCAGCUGCUCCGCGGCAUGUGGGAUCUUCCCGGACCAGGGCACAAACCCGUGUCCCCUGCAUCGGCAGGUGGACUCUCAACCACUGCGCCAUCAGGGAAGCCCGAAGCAGAGCUAUUUUUGAGCAGAUUUAUGGGAUGCCUGGGGCAGCUCUUCUUCAGGCUGUGACGACCAGGAUGGUUUCCUAUCAUGUAUCUCUCAUCCUUCUGAUAUGACCACAGCACCACUUGAGGAAUUUGAGGACAUCCAUGGACAGUGACAUCAUACCAGACGAGGAAAAUGAGGCCCUGAGAUGUGGAGUGACUUAUUUCUACACUACCAACAUGUAGGUUAGACUUGGGAUUCCUGGCUUCUGUACUCGAUUAGGUUUCCUAUACAACAAAUUGCCACAGACCUAGUGGCUUAAAGCAACGCAGAUUAUCUCAAAGUGUCUGUAGGACAGAAGUUCGGGAAUGGCUUAGCUGGGUCCUCGGCAAGUCUGCAAUUAAGGUGUUGUCCAAGGCUUCAUUCUCAUCUGGAGGCUCAACUGGAGAACGGUCUACUUUCAGGAUCACUCAGAUUAUGGCAAAAUUCACUUCUUUAUGGCAGUAAAAUUCAGGUCAGCUUGCUUCUUUGACCAGUAAUAGGCAGUGAGAGACCCUAGCAAGAGAGGUGCUACACUUAUGUAAUCAUGUAUUUACCAUCGCCUUUCGCACGUUCAACUGAUUAGAAGCAAAUCACCGUUUUGCCCACACUCAGGGAAGAGGAUUAUACAAAGACAUGAAGACCUGAAGGUGGGGUCAUGGAAGCCACCUUAAAACCUGUCCACCACCAGUACAAUAACUGUUUUAGCUGCCAAAAUAUUAGUAGGUGAGAAGGACACUACAGUGGUUUAAAAUCUGUCUAAUGUUCAAAAAAGUAUUCUCUCCUUUUACUCUACUCCCUUGAAUCUGGACUGGACUUGGUAAUUUAUUUCUAAUAAACUAGAAGAUGGUGGAAGAGAUGAUGUGUGACUUCUGAGACAAAAGGCAUUGUGAUCUUUGCUCUCUUUCUUCGAUGAUUCACUCUGGGGGAAAACAGCUGUUACGUCACAAGGACAUUAAAGCAGGCCGGAGGAGUGGUCCAUGGGGCAAGGAACUGAGUAACCCUGUCGAAAACCAGAAAAAGGUUUCUGCCAACAGCUAUAUGAGAGCGAGCCCUCUGCUGACAGUCACGUGAGUCAGUCGUUUCAGAAGAGGAUUCUUGAGCCCCAGUCGAGCUGUUAGAUUUCUGCAGCCCCAGCCAGUACACCCUCCUGAGAGAAGCAGAGCCAGACCACUCAGUGGAGCCUCUCCCGAAUUCCUGAGCCACCAAAACUCAUCAAGUCUUUGAUUUUGCUACUAGCAAAAUGGUCUGGAUUAUCAUACUCAAAGCCUGGAUACUGCUGGCAAGGCAAACUGUGAAUGUGAACUACAUGGAGACUGGAAUUUUGAUGAUGUUGCCCACUGCUGUGUACAUUCUUUGGCACAGAGUGCUAUUCUCUGAAUGUCUCUUAUUAUCUCCAACCCUGAUCACAGGAGCAAGAGCUGAGAGGGAGCCUCCAAGAGCCUGGGGCUCUGAGUGACUUCCGUGAGCUGAACAUUACGCUGCUCCAUUUGGACAUUUAGGGUGGCCAGCGCUAUUGUACUACAGCCUGCAUUUCUACCAGGAUGCACACCAGGGAACCCUGUAUCAAUCUACUCUCAGAUCCAGGCCUGCGGCGUCUAUCGUGGCCGCUGGGAUGGUGCAGUGACCUCAACUGAAGCAUGAUUCCUUCUCUGGAAGUUCCAAGUAUUCUCUCUUUGACUUGACACUAGACUGGUGGCUUCGUGUGUACAUUGGCUCUUUCUUCCUUGCUAGUAUCUGAAAUGCACAUUAAAACUACAAAUAGUACAAAUAGAACUACCAUAUGACCCAGCAAUCCCACUACUGGGCAUAUAUCCUGAGAAAACCAUAAUUCAAAAAGAGUCAUGUACCAAAAUGUUCAUUGCAGUUCUAUUUACAAUAGCCCGGAGAUGGAAACAACCUAAGUGCCCAUCAUCAGAUAAAUGGAUAAAGAAGAUAUGCCACAUAUAUACAAUGGAAUAUUACUCAGCCAUAAAAAGAAAUGAAAUUGAGCUAUUUGUAAUGAGGUGGAUAGACCUAGAGUCUGUCAUACAGAGUGAAGUAAGUCAGAAAGAGAAAGACAAAUACCGUAUACUAACACAUAUAUAUGGAAUUUAAGAAAAAAAAUGUCAUGAAGAACCUAGGGGUAAGACAGGAAUAAGGACACAGACCUACUAGAGAACGGACUUGAGGAUAUGGGGAGGGGGAAGGGUAAGCUGUGACAAAGAGAGAGAGAGGCAUGGACAUAUAUACACUACCAAACGUAAGG